GCCGUCCAUGGGAACACCCAGCCGGCCCCACUCGCACGGGUAGAGACAGGGGCGCCCUGCUGGAGCUGAGCCUCAGCUUUGUCCCUCUCCUCCUCCACGUCAACCUGGCCAGAGGGUCUGGACGCCACAGCCAGGGCACCCCCUGCUUUGGUGGUGACUGCUAAUAUUGGCCAGGCCGGCGGAUCAUCGUCCAGGCAGUUUCGGCAGAGAGCCUUGGGCACCAGUGACUCCCCGGUCCUCUUUAUCCACUGUCCAGGAGCUGCGGGGACUGCGCAGGGACUAGAGUACAGGUAACUGGGCUCCCAUCCCUUGAGUGUGAGAGAAAAGCUGCACUUUAAGUGUUCAGGCGUGGGUGGGCCGGGAGCUUGGGGCAGCUGCCAGGAUCCUGGUUUCUGAAGGAGGGGAAGAACUUCUGCUGCUGGAGGGUGCAGGGAAGCCUCCUGAGAGCAGCCUCAACUUCAGGGAUGGGGUGUGCAGGAAAG
rnacentral:lncRNA from 1 species